GUCAAAAAAAAAUAAGUCAGACUGACAACAUUGCCAAUGGACUCCAUUCAAGUUGCAAUUAACAACUCUUACCUCCAUGUCUUAAAGGUGGUUUAGGAAAAUUGCAGACAGACCAUGAGGCAAACAGUGGAGAUAAUGAGGUGCGAUCUUACCUGGCCUGCAGUUUCAGACGCCCAAGCCAGUUACCUGUGUCAAUAUUUUUUAUUCACUGUGGAAGCAAACUUUGAAAGUAAAAAUAUAAAUGAGCUCAUGAGAGAAGUCACCGGUAGCCUUGGAUUUUUGCUUCAAGACAAAAGGAUGGUUUCCAAUCUCCCCUUCCUUCCAUUUCUGCACUUCACUGUCAUAUUUUAAUUCGUUGUGAUUCAUUCCUCUUCUAAAAUGAUUACCACCUCAGUACAUUUGAAGAGGAAAAGAGGAACAGAAACUUCUAAUCCAGGAAGACUUGGAAUGAAGAACACAAAUAGCAAAUUGUUCUCCCAGCCCCAAACCCAGUUCUUAAGUCUCUUGCCUGCAAGUACAUAUGCUUUGCCUCUUUGCCUACAGUUCUUCCAAAGGCGAGACCACCUGGCUGAAUGACUGUGGACUCAAUCUGAGUGUGUUUCUAAAUUUAUAAAUGCAUUAUGC
rnacentral:lncRNA from 1 species